AAUGAACGCUGGCGGCGCGCCUAAUACAUGCAAGUCGAGCGAGAAGACGUAGCAAUACGUUUGUAAAGCGGCGAACGGGUGAGGAAUACAUGGGUAACCUACCCUCGAGUGGGGAAUAACUAGCCGAAAGGUUAGCUAAUACCGCGUACGCUUCUUGGACUUCGGUUCAGGGAGGAAAGCGAUGCCGAGGGUAUCGCGCUCUUGGAUGGGCUCAUGUCCUAUCAGCUUGUUGGNGAGGUAACGGCUCACCAAGGCUUCGACGGGUAGCUGGUCUGAGAGGACGAUCAGCCACACUGGCACUGCGACACGGGCCAGACUCCUACGGGAGGCAGCAGUAAGGAAUAUUGCGCAAUGGGCGAAAGCCUGACGCAGCGACGCCGCGUGGGGGAUGAAGGUCUUCGGAUUGUAAACCCCUUUCGGG
rnacentral:rRNA from 1 species